rnacentral:rRNA from 1 species
UCUACGGGAGGCAGCAGUGGGGAAUAUUGGGCAAUGGGCGCAAGCCAGACCCAGCAACGCCGCGUGAAGGAAGAAGGCUUUCGGUUUGUAACCUUCUUUUGUCAGGGAAGAGUAGGAGACGGUACCUGACGAAUAAGCCACGGCUAACUACGUGCCAGCAGCCGCGGUAAUACGUAGGUGGCAAGCGUUGUCCGGAUUUACUGGGUGUAAAGGGCGUGUAGCCGGGUUGACAAGUCAGAUGUGAAAUCCUGCGGCUUAACCGCAGAACUGCAUGUGAAACUGGUGAUCUUGAGUACUGGAGAGGCAGACGGAAUUCCUAGUGUAGCGGUGAAAUGCGUAGAUAUUAGGAGGAACACCAGUGGCGAAGGCGGUCUGCUGGACAGCAACUGACGGUGAGGCGCGAAAGCGUGGGGAGCAAACAGGAUUAGAUACCCGAGUAGUC